UGAACGCUGGCGGCAGGCUUAACACAUGCAAGUCGAGCGGAAACGAAGGUAGCUUGCUACCAGACGUCGAGCGGCGGACGGGUGAGUAAUGCUUAGGAAUCUACCGAGUAGUGGGGGAUAGCCAUUGGAAACGAUGAUUAAUACCGCAUAUAUCCUACGGGGGAAAGCAGGGGACCUUCGGGCCUUGCGCUAUUCGAUGAGCCUGAGUGAGAUUAGCUAGUUGGUGGGGUAAAGGCCUACCAAGGCGACGAUCUCUAGCUGGUCUGAGAGGAUGAUCAGCCACACUGGGACUGAGACACGGCCCAGACUCCUACGGGAGGCAGCAGUGGGGAAUAUUGCACAAUGGACGAAAGUCUGAUGCAGCCAUGCCGCGUGUGUGAAGAAGGCCUUCGGGUUGUAAAGCACUUUCAGCGAGGAGGAAAGGUCAGUAAGUAAUAUUUGCUGGCUGUGACGUUACUCGCAGAAGAAGCACCGGCUAAUUUAGUGCCAGCAGCCGCGGUAAUACUAAAGGUGCAAGCGUUAAUCGGAAUUACUGGGCGUAAAGCGCGCGUAGGUGGUUUGUUAAGUUGGAUGUGAAAGCCCAGGGCUCAACCUUGGAACUGCAUUCAAAACUGACUCACUAGAGUACGAGAGAGGUUAGUGGAAUUUCCUGUGUAGCGGUGAAAUGCGUAGAGAUGGGAAGGAACACCAGUGGCGAAGGCGACUGACUGGCUCGAUACUGACACUGAGUGCGAAAGCG
rnacentral:rRNA from 1 species